GGGAGACUAGCCUGAGGCCAGGGGUACAGGGACAUACCUUCUCAAUGAAUGUUAUCACACCACACCCAGCAUCAAAGGAGAAAUGGAAAUUUUAAGACUCCUCAAAACGCAACAAUAAAAACCAAAAACUCAAUUAAAAAUAAGCCACUUUGAACAGGCACUUCACCAAAGAAGAUGUGCCAGUGGAAAAUAAGCUUCUGCAAAGAUUCUCAACAUCCUACGUCACUGGAAAACUGAAAAUGAGGAUAGCAAUGACAUGCCAUCAAAUACCUAUGAGUUGGUGGAAGUAAAAAACUGGUGCCUGUAAUACCUAGUGCAGAUCAGGACAUGAGCAACGGAAACCCUCACCCCAGAUAGGAUACAAAUAACAUCAUCAUUAGGAAAGACAGUCAACAGUUUCCUACAGAGACUUACCCUGCAAUGUACUGAUCACUCACUAAAUAUGACCCAACUCACUGGAGAAACUAUAUUUGCAGAGAAACCCGCACACAAUGUUUACAGCAGAUCACCCUUCCCUCUGGACUGUGCAGAGUGACUCCUUCAAAGACUACAGUGUGGAUGGAGCAAAGAACUUCACAGGGAGCGGCUGGGAAACAGCCCUCAGUGGGUGGGGAAGGUGAACACUGCGAGUGACAGGCACGUGGAUCGUCUGCCCUGGUGUGAGGGACUGAGAAUGGCUCCUAGGUGUGGUCUUCCCUAAAGCCACAUCCCACUCAACCAAGCUCAAAGUGAGACAUUCUACAAUACACCCGAGAAACACUUCUUUAAAAAUGUCCAGGUCAUCAAGAAGAAGGAAAUUCUGGAUCCUGGAGCAGAAAAAAUAAAAACGAGUGAAAUCUGAAUGACGUGUGAAUUCAGUUGCCGUGUGUUCAUGCUGGUUCACCAGCUGUGCAGAUACAUGACAGCGACAUGUUGGCAGUGAGAAACUGAGUGUGGGAUA